CGCGCGCCCUGUAGUAUCCACGCCCUCCAAACCCGGCUGAUAGGCGGAUUAGUUGCGUUGUCUGCUUUUUCCAUAAGAAUUCCCACACAUUUGUGGAAGGUUUAGGGUCAAUAAACCUUACAAUCACGUCAAGUGCAGAAACACACGCAGUAGGCAAUAAUCUAUUUAUCUGAACGGGCAUCACCCAGAGCAACCAGCCACACAGACGGCACUAACACACACAAUUGCUGCUGAGCUGCAUAAGCUCAAUCAAGCCUUCAGUCUAACCUCCAGCACUAAUCUGGACACCUGUUUCCUAGUAAAGUGUCAGUACUGAAACAUCCUUCUGUCCUACAGAAACAGGAAAUGUGUUGAAGAGACAGCACUGGACUUCACAGCUGUGCAAGUAAUCAUCCAGGAAUGCCAGCCCGGAGAAGCAUACAAACGUGUAGUGGAUACAGCACC